GUCCCUGUUGUGCAAUGGAUAGCACGUUGGACAUUAAAUCCAAAGGUUGCGGUUUCGAAUCCCACCUGGGAUG